GUGGGGAAUUUUGGACAAUGGGCGCAAGCCUGAUCCAGCCAUGCCGCGUGCGGGAAGAAGGCCUUCGGGUUGUAAACCGCUUUUGUCAGGGAAGAAACGGCCAUCGCCAAUACCGGUGGCUAAUGACGGUACCUGAAGAAUAAGCACCGGCUAACUACGUGCCAGCAGCCGCGGUAAUACGUAGGGUGCAAGCGUUAAUCGGAAUUACUGGGCGUAAAGCGUGCGCAGGCGGUCAUGCAAGACAGAUGUGAAAUCCCCGGGCUCAACCUGGGAACUGCAUUUGUGACUGCAUGACUUGAGUACGGUAGAGGGGGAUGGAAUUCCGCGUGUAGCAGUGAAAUGCGUAGAUAUGCGGAGGAACACCGAUGGCGAAGGCAAUCCCCUGGACCUGUACUGACGCUCAUGCACGAAAGCGUGGGGAGCAAACAGGAUUAGAUACCCGGGUAGUCC
rnacentral:rRNA from 1 species